rnacentral:rRNA from 1 species
UACAGAGGGUGCGAGCGUUAAUCGGAAUUACUGGGCGUAAAGGGCGCGUAGGUGGUUUAUUAAGAUUGAUGUGAAAUCCCUGGGCUUAACCUAGGAACUGCAUCGAUGACUGAUAAGCUUGAGUAUUGUAGAGGGUAGUGGAAUUUCCGGUGUAGCGGUGAAAUGCGUAGAGAUCGGAAGGAACAUCAGUGGCGAAGGCGGCUACCUGGACAAAUACUGACACUGAGGCGCGAGAGCGUGGGGAGCAAACAGG